UGGCGCAACGAAAAAUAUUGGAGCACGUAAGAAAGUGAAAUCGGCUAGCUGUGUAUUUUCGGAAUAUUUGAGGCGAAUAUUUUCGGUAUACUUACUAUCGUUUUCAUGGAACACAAACAUUGUGGGUGUUUAGAAACACUAAUAAGGGGGUGUGUCUUCCAGUCUCCAAAUAGAUUUGGAAGUAGGACGUUGUGGAAGCUACUAUCCCCUUUGUGUGUGGAAAAAUGCCCCUCUGUUUGUGUUUUACAUUACAGCAAAUUAAUUAAAUCAAAUUUUUUCAUAACUUGUGAUAUUGGAUGUGUUGGUGGUGGGAGGGGCAUCUAAUACGCAGAAUGUUCAACUGCUAUUUUGUUGAGAGGUGUAAGCGGUUGCAAAAUUAUGUACUUAGCGUAUAUUUUUCGCAGUGUGAGUGGGCAUCAUUACCGGUUUGUUUUAAAAGGG